rnacentral:lncRNA from 1 species
GCGAAACAACGAUCUCGCCAUGGACUUUGUGAGUGAUUACUUCCAUUCAUUCCACUUUUGUUCUAACUCUCUCUGUUCUUCCACUCCAGGAACGCGAAAGUAGGAGACCCAGCACCGAAAGAAAGGAAAAACUUCGCGAUCAGUUACAACCGCAUCCCCUUAAGUCGUCUGCAAGCUCUGGACAAAUUCUGGGUGGUCUUGGCGGGAUUUGCAGCAUUUCCUUUCGCUCAUCCUGGCCGUCGAAUCCAUCCGACGGCAGCCAGCCGAGCACACUUGUCCUAUAGAGAAGGUGCUGUAAGGUUUUUUUUGUUUUUUUUUUUUGGUCCUUGUGAAUUUUAUUUUUUUUUUGUGUUUACGUGCUUGCUCUGCAGACAUGGUUGGUGCCAUUGCUGCCUAGCAAGUUGUUCGCCGGUCACCUCAAGAACAGGCUUUUGCUCGCUCCUUUUCUCGGCUCUUCCAACUUUUUUCUAAGUGGAAGAGCACUUUGAUCCGGAAGCGCCAGUAAUCUAAUCGCUAGCUCCAAUGCUGCCACGGAGUUUUCUAUCAAUCCAUCGCGAGAGGGGUGUGUUUGGCGCUUUCGAUAGCUCACGUCUGGCUAGCCAAGGAGCGCGAGUUUUUUUUGGAGAUCAUGGAUAGAAUUCACAAAGAGUGUUAUUUACCUGUGGAAUGGAGAGUACAAAUUUUUCUUUUCUUUACACGAGAGCGAGGAGGAGAAACACAAAUGCUGCACGCUCGAGAGAAUCGAGAGUGUUAUUUGGAGGGCGCUAUCCUCUGAUCGAGAGAACCAAGCGAUAGAACCAAAAAGAAAACGUUGGGAAGAACUACAACGAGAAAACGAGAAAAGGGGAAAAAACUGCUCACAACUUCCACAAACCUGGGGAAAAUGCUGCCUCGCCUACAAACAAUCUUAUGGAGGAAUCGAGAUCGCCAAAUGGAAGGAGGAGGAAGGAAUCCAGCGGAAAGAAAGAAAGAAGUCCAAGGAAGAACGACGAAGAACUCUUCUCCUCCCCGCUUUUGUGCUGCUGCUACUUAUACUAGACCAGUGAAAAAGAAUAAAAAUCCCUCCUUUCGCUCCAAUCCACCCCUCCCCAUUCCAUUUGGGCGAUUCCCUCUUCUCCCAUGCUCCAAUCUAGUAGGUCUUGUAUGGAUCCUCUGCGAGGAGCUGCCUGGUGGUGGCAUCCAUCUUCAAUCCCAGAUCCAUGACGUGCUGCUGCUCCGCGAGGGAGAGAUCAUCCAUCUCCAUCGCCGAAGACAUGGCCCCUGCUCCAAUUCGUGCUCCCUGCGCUGCCAUGGGCAUCGCCGCCGCGAUGACAAUGCCAAUCAGCAGCACCAGCGCUGAGAUCUUCCUGAGAAUCGCCUGCAAUGCCAUCGCGCCGAAGAGAUUUCGCUGCGGGCUGGAAAGAAAUUCUUCCCUCACUCUCUCGCACAGAGCUCUCUCUCUCUCUCCCUGGCGAAAUAGGGUAAGCCCAGGGCCGGGUAUUUAUCUUCUGCAAUUACUCCACGUCGAAGAAAUUACCCAGUCCCUCCCUGGGCCGGGGAUUUUCUUCACACACGCUGAGACACGCUCUUUGUUUUUACGUGGGGUAAGUCGCGAAGUCCCGCCAUUGGGCCAGCUGUCAAAGUCUCCUACUGUAACGUAGUUAUAUGUGUAACUACCAUUUUAGGUCAUCUUUUACGUUACAUUCUACGGAAUAUUUCCCUGCAUGACGACGGCUGAUCUCAGCCGUGGGUUCCUUAGCGUACGGCAGGCGUACGAAGGGGAUAUUCUUGGGGCAUAUGCUGAUCCCACGGCGGUCGCUGUGAUGGAGAUGGUUGUUGCGCCGGCUACGUGCCACGAUGGGAACGACGCAACAACGCAAAGUUUUAAUUUUUGUGCGACAACGCGUCUAUUUUUUUUUUUGGUACUUAGUUCUUUUCUAUUUGGAGUUCUUUUCUUUGGGUUUUUAUUCGCUACAACGUGUUUCCAAUGGGGACAGCAAUGCUUAACUUCAGUGUUUAUGGACGAGCUUGGGAAUUCUGUGUUGGCCUUUUCCUGGAGGGUUGGGCCUUGUCUAUAAUGAGUGAUUUCUUUGGUUGAGACGUGUGUUUGGAGACCUGGCGGUGGUACAAGGAACCCUAAAAAAUUCCUGGAUCUUGGAGCUUUCUAGAAACUUUUGGAUGGACCAAUUCAAAGCUCUCCCCUUUUCUUAAUUCGUAGAAACCCUAAUAGGAGGAACCCUAAAGCUAGCAUUUGCAUUUUUCCUAUCCUACAUUUGAUCAGGCUCUCUGCAGGGAAUGUCAUGAGCUACCAUCGAUCAAUCAACCCUCGGUCAGUACUGGAGGAACAUCCACUUCAAGAGAAUGCCUGUCGAAAAGCUCAAAGAACAACCAACCGAUCGAUCUCUCGAUCGCGAGAAAAGCGAGAAAAAGCUAACCUUCCCAGCGCGUCGCCUCGGAGCUCACCGCGAUCCCGGUCACCAGUCGCGCCGCCGCCGUGGCGCUGUGCUUGGGCACCAUGGACGAAAUCCCCCUGUGGAUCCUGGAAACAAAAUCUCCUUUGUGCUCGAUCGAUCGAAUCCAUGCACUGGAAAUUCACCUGAUCCUGGCGCUCGCCUGCCCCUCCGGCGAUGGGAUCGCGAUCGAUCGCCGCAGUGGCCGCGCGCCUGGAAUCCCGAGCUGGGGAAGCCUCCUCAAUUCUAGCCGCCUCAUCACUCUUGCCGCCAUCGCUUUUCUUCUAUAGAGCUUAUAAACCCUAGGGUUUUAGACUAGGGCUAUGGCAGCGGCCAAUGUAGGUCGCAUGGCGGGGCGCUUCGCCUUCCGCGCUCGCGCUGCCAGGCCGCAAUUCCAUCCCAGGUCCUCCGGCGCCCAACCGCAGUACCAGUUCCAUCGAUCGUUGCCUCGAUCGUUCGAAGAAGCUCGAAUCAAGACCAGGUAUACAUUUAUUUCUCUUCUGGCAUUCUUUCGAUCGAAUUGCCAGGCUUCGUCGGGAGCUCGUGUCGCUGUUUCCUUUGCACAAUGCCACGGCCUCGUCCAGGCUCGUCUCGCUGAUUUCCGGUGGAUCCAAGAGCCUAGAAUGUAAGGAAAAUUCUUUCUUUGUCUUUGUUUGCUAUGAAGCUUGCUUGCAUUGUUGUUUGUUUCUUCCCUUCGGAUCUGGGGGUGGUCUCUCGCGCUUUCUUGCGGCAUUUUUUUUUUUUUUUUUCAUGCGCGUUUUCGGGUUGCAGGCAUUUUCUUGAAGUGGGUGUCUCUCGAUAAUUUCAGGCCGCUGCUACAGUCGAGGGGACGAUGAUGGCUGAGUCUCUCAGAAUUUAGCACACUAUCCUUGGAGUCCAUCGUCCGUUGUCACAGAUGAAUCUGUGGCUUUAAUUUCCGUGUUUUUUCUUUCCUGUUCUUGUCUUCCCUGAGCUAUGAUCACCAGCUAGAGGUACCUGUAUCAACCCAGGUUUUCAGGCAAAACGAAUUUUUUCAUUUCGUCGAGCUUUUCUAGUGCCUUUGUAUUUCCCUGUUUCUGGAUGGUGGUUCAUGUGUUGUGUUUCUCUACCCAGGUUGGCUCCAGCACUGCCUAAGGUCUCCGAAAAGCGUAGCGUCAGAACCGUCACGAGAGCAGUGUUUUGAAGCAUCAAGGUUCUCUCUUCUUUUCAUUUCGUUGUUCUUUCGCUUCUUUUCCAUGGCAUGUUUUACUGGUCUCUUCCUGCCAGGUGAUGCUAUUGAAUUCUUGAGGUGCGUGGAUAGUCUUCUUUGCUUGUUGACAAGAUUGGCGAGAGUUUAUCAUCGCGAAUAACAAGAGCUUUUUCUUCAGUGUUAUCUCUCGGCCAGUCGGCAUUAAGUUCCCAGUCAGAAACGAUAAGAGAGGGUGUGGGGUUUAGACGUGUUUUGGCUAUGGCUGCGAGAUUGGUGGUAGCAGGGCGAGUAGCAGCUCCUCCCGCCCGACUACUUUCGCCCUCUCCUCGCGUCCAUCGAGCUACAUUCGUCACAACGUCCCGCUCUUCUGGUGGUUUUCAUUUGGAGCAGGAUGGAUUAUCCUCUUCCAGCUCACGGUCUUCUUGCUUUUCCUCCUUCCAGUUCCUGUUUCUCGGUCUCUCACGAAAAAGCUUGUUUGUCCUUCCAGGUCUGCUGUACCUUUGUCCCCUGUCCCCAAGAAACGUAAUGCUACGAGGAUUUCGCUGGGAGCAGCAGUGCUUCGCAACUUUCAAGGUUUUGCUCGCUGUAAAUGCCUCGGUGAGGCAUUUUAAAGAGUGUCUAGCUAAAAGUUCGAGUUUUUCUCCAGCAGGAUUCGAGCAUUUCAGCCGUCUCAAGGAUGAUGGGUGAUGUAGUAAGAUUGAUUCGUUUCUCAUUUACUCACUGUGUGCUCUUACAGUUGAGAAGAAGAACAAGAAGCUAUGGAGGAUGCCAAUCUCUUGACUUGUAGCACGGUCACGGUUUGACGAAAUUUGAGCUCUUUUUCUUUUUGUUCUACUGAGGGUUUGAUAGGGUUUUGUAGCUUAGGAAUGCAGAGGAUUUCCAGUCCAGACGUAAGGAGCUCCCAACAGCGCACGCUCGAGAGACUGGAAAAAGCCAAGAGGAUUUUCAUUCUGGUGUCCGAAUUGAAGGCUUGCAGCAGCUCUAAGGACUUGGACAGAGGUAGGAAAAUCCAUGCCCGAGCUGUAGCAACUGGAGAGAGCUCCAACAUCUACGCAGCGACAACUCUCAUCAACAUGUACUGCAAAUGUGGAAGCCUGGUGGACGCUCGCAGCGUGUUUGACAGAAUGCCACUUUGCAACGCCGUGGCAUGGACUGCUCUCAUGCUGGGUUAUGCGGAGAACAGCUUGGAGGAACAGGCCUUGGAACUCUUCUCCGCUAUGCAGUCGCGGACAUUUAGCUGCGUCCCUGACUCGCGCACCUUCGUGGUGGCUCUCAAGGCGUGUGUUGGACUGGCAACGAAGGAAGCUGUCCAGGACAUCAACGGGAAGCUUGUGAAGAUGAAGUCACUGGAGAAAGGAAUGGCUGUUCACCACCAAGCCGUAAGAGUAUUACAGGGAGCUUUAGCUAUAGCACAAGAUAUCUACCUGGGAAGUGCGCUCGUCAACUUUUACGCAAGAUGUGGGGACUUGAGCAGCGCUAGCAGAGUUUUCGACGAGAUGUCGAGCCGGAAUGCUGUCGCCUGGAACGCUCUGAUGCUCGGGUAUACGGAGAGUGGCGAUUCGGAGCGGGCUUUGGAGCUGCUGGAACGGAUGCUGGGCGAGGGUUGCACUCCCAACGCCAGGAACUUCGUGGCGGCGUUGAAGGCCUGCUCGAGUUUGGCCGGGGACGAGGCUGGCAGCAAAGUCGAUGGGAAACUCGUCAAGGUGGUGUGCUUGGAAAAAGGCGUGGCCGUGCACUCGCAGGCCGUCAAGUAUGGCUGCGAGGCGGACAUCUUCGUCGGGAGCACGCUGGUGGACGUCUACUCCAAGUGUGGAAGCCUCCUCGACUCUUGGAGAGCUUUCGAGCGAAUGCCGAGGCGGAACGCGGUGUCGUGGAACUCACUGAUGCUGGGGUAUGCCGAGAACGGGGAGCCGGAAGCAGCACUCGAUUUGUUUGUCCGCAUGGCCAACGAAGAAGACGAAGCUAGUCCAGACGAUCGAAGCUACGUUGCCGCGCUCAAAGCCUGCGUUAUUCUGGCAGCCAAGGAAGAGGAAGGCCGCGGAGAGAAGCUGGUGAAGGUGGCAGCGCUCGAGAAAGGGAUGGCUAUUCACGCUCGAGCUGCGAGUAAGCACUUCGAACGGGAUAUCUUCGUCGCCAACAUGCUCGUGGACAUGUACUUCAAGUGUGGAAGUAUGGCGGACGCUUCCCGAGUCUUCGGCAGGAUAGAGAAUCCGACAGUGGUUUCCUGGACGUCGUUGAUACUGGGAUACAUCGACAACGGCGAAGGAGCUCUGGCUCUCAGGCUCUUCGAUCAGAUGCAAGCUCGGGGUUGCCGGCCGAGUGCUCAGACUUUCGUGGCCGCGAUGAGAGCUUGCACUUGCGAGGCUUCGAAAGAAGGUGGCGAUGGGAAGCUUGUCAAGAAGAAACAGUGGCUGCAGCGCGGGAUGGCCGUCCACGAUCAGGCAGUAAAGCGGGGACUGGAAUCCAACAUCUUCGUGGCAAGCGCAGCGGUGGAUCUCUGCUCCAAGUGUGGCAGCAUGGACAACGCCCGGAAGAUCUUCGAGCAAAGUCCCUCGAGCCACGGUUUGGCCUCGUGGAACGCACUGAUGCUCGGCUACGUGGAGAACGGCGACGCAGCAUCGGCACUCGGCUUGUUCUCGCGGCUCCAGCGGCAGAAAAACUCGUGGAGCUCGUCACCCAACGCUAGAACUUACGCUGCUGCGCUCAAGGCCUGUGGAGCUCUCGGUCUUCUCAGCUCAACCAAGCUCGUCCACGCGGAGAUCUGCCGCUGCGGAGCCUCGUCCGACGCAGUGCUGGCCAACUCGCUCGUCGACGCCUACGGCAAGUGCGGCGGCCUCGACCACGCGCAGCAAGCUUUCGACUCCAUCGCCAGCCCGGACGCCAUCACCUGGAACGCGCUCAUCACGUCUUACAGCUCCCAGGGAGACACCAACCGAGUUUUCCAGCUCCUGGGCGAGAUGCUAGGCCGGGGAUGGGAGCCGAGCGCCGUGACUUACACCUCGCUGCUCAUCGCGUGUAGCCGCGGGGGUCUGGUGGAUCGGUGUUGGAAGUUCUUCCGGGAGAUGGAGUCCAAGCACGGGGUGGCUCCUCGCAUCGAGCACUACCACUGCGUGAUGGACACACUGGGGCGAGCCAACCGGGUGGAGGAGGCGGUGAGGCUGGCGGAGGAGAUGCCGUUUGAGCCGAGUGGAGUGACUUGGACGACGGUGUUGAGCGCUUGCGAGAGCGUGGAGGCCGGGAGGGGCGCGUUUGGAUCGUUGCUCGGGAUGGAGGAGGCGGACAGGAAGGCUGGCUGCGCUCUCAUGUCCAACUUGUGUAGUAGUAAAAUCUAAGUCACACGUCCUUUUAAAUAGCUGAUAACUAAAAGCUUUUCACUCUCUGAAGCUCGUAUCGUUUAAUGGUAGCAAUAUAAUAAUUUUUUUAAAUGUAGAAUUGUGUAGUUAUAAGAUUAAAAGAAGUGGUCUUCAUCCAGUUGGUAGAGGUACAAUCAGCAAAAACCAUGAGACCUAAAAUUUGAUAAAGCUCAUCACGGAUAUGUUAGUCCAGUAACUUCAAGACUUGGGCUUUUUCUUUGCAGGAGGUUCUUCUUCCACCAUCGUCUUCUUAGCAGCCUCAAUCCAUCGCAAGGCACCACCCGAGAGGCGCCAGUGGCGCUCGUGCUUCAAAAUCCACAGGACUCAAAUCCCAGGCCUUCCAAACGCCAUCUUCAUCGCCCGGGCUUCCAUCACCUCUGCCUCCAUCGCAUCCCUGUAGCUGUGGCCUCUGCGCCCCCUUUAAUGGUGCCAUGCAAGAGUUCGGCGUCCGCUCGCUUCAACACAGAGCUCACUCCUGGGAAAGAAGUUAUGCAGCACGGCUCCUUGUCCACGGGGGAGCACGGCAGCAAGAAGUACUGGAAUGAUCUGAGCAGCUUUGGCUUUUCUGUCUUCGUCUUAAAGUCCAGAGGAUCCCAGCACUAGAUGAAGUCGUGGCACGCAUCAGCGCAAAGUCGCAGCCCUCGUCCCUGGAUAUGUUUUUCAGAUUGUACCGUGGCUUGUCUGCCAUAUCGAAGUGCUCUGGUCGGACAAAAUCUCCAUUCAGGCACCGGGUACACGACUUGGUCACACGAGCAGAUGUAAGGAAGAAGUGGGGGCUGAGUGCUAUGCCACUGCCAAAGCUAACGAUCCCACUCUCAUGUGUUGCACGAAUGGCCUCCUUGAGUAUAGCUGGUUUUCCAUACACUGAGCUGCCCAAUCUGGGUGGAUCACCCGCUGGGAAGAUAACCGUGCCCGAUUCAAAGUCGACGCCCAGAAUUCUAUUGAACUUACCUUUCCUAGAUGGAUCUGUCUCCUUGACCGCUAAAGUUUCUAAAACCUUCUCUUGAAGUUUUGCCUGUUCUCGGCCAAUAGCCGAAUCUAUAGGUGCAUAGUAAAUAACAUAAGGCUCCCCACGAACAAGGCUCUUCCAUAACAAACCCUAGCAGGAAUUAGACCUUCCUUUUAUAGCUGUGUGCGGGUAAAGGUUUACCUCCUUAACCAGCCCAUUAUGAUAAACCUGAGACGAGAGUCGGCGUCGAAGUUUUGCAGGAGCUGGUCUUCCUGAGCUCUACGCGAUGGGGAUCCAGGUCCGCGCCGAGCUGCCAUGGAAGAAGUCGAAUAGAGGAGUGUGGAGUGCGUGUCCGAGCUUGUGCUGCUUCCGCCAGCUUCUCAUUUGAGAGAGCUUGAUUUAGCAUUCAUUCAGUCUAGUUGUCUCUGGCUUUUGAGGAGUUGAAUUUGAGGGCGCAAUAGUAAUAGGGGCUCGUUUGAAGAUUGUUCCACCUGAAGAAGACAAGGCAGCGGCAACUCCAGCACAAUAAUCUCUCGGAUCCUCUCUCCCGAAGGGCUUCAAGUGAAGAAGUGUGUUUCGUUCCAGGAAAACCAGACUUUCUUUUCCAGCUUUGGUUGACACGACCGAGGUGGCGGACACGAGCAACGUUUUUUAUAUGAAAAAAAUCAUACCAUUGAAGAAGGGAGAGAGAUUCGUCAGGACAUUCCCUUAAAGAGGAAGAAAAUUUCUCCUUAAUAAGGGUAGGAAUGGAACGCAGUAGGGUUUGCAAUGCGGGAGCCUUUCGGGUAUGUCUGUGAUCUGCCUUAUUAUGUAACUCCUAGUAUCCAGCAGAUGUGUCGAGAAGAACAAAAGCUCCUGAAAGAGGUUUCAGGAGAGGUAGCAGUGAAUCUAGGAAGGGAAAGUUUAGUAGAGUUUUGGCGGUUGACUAUGAAUCAGGCACUGUUAUUUUCCCGAAGGAUGAUCUUCUAGUUCUACAAGCCCAAGCUGGUCAGUAUAUGGAAGGAAUCCAACUAUACUCAAGGAAGCCAUUCGCGCAACACACAGGCUCCAAAGUGUGGAUGAGGGUAGGAUGGUUCACUUCGGCAGUGGCGUGGCGCUCAGCCCGCAGUUCCUCCUUACAUCUGCUCGUAUGGCCAAGUCGUCUACCCAGUGCCUGAAUGGCGAUUUUGUGCGAUCAGAGCACUUCGAUAUGGCAGAGAAGCCACGGUACAAUCUGGAAACUGUAUCCAGGGACGAAGGCUGUGAUAUGGUGCUGAUGCGUGUCAAGACUUCAAGCGCUGGCGCGACUCUAGAGAAGGCAAAGCUGCUCAAGUCUUUCCAGUACUUCCUGCUGCCAUGCUCCCCAGUGGACAAGGCGCCAUGCUGCAUAACUUCCUUCCCGGGUGUGAGCUCCCUGUUGAUGCGAGCGGACGCAGACCUCUUGCACGGCAUCAUUCAUGGAGGUACUGAGGCUAGUCUCGGGGGCAUUUACAGGGAUGCGAUGGAGGCAGAGGCGAUGCAAGUUCGAGCCAUGCAUCAGUACAAGCCAUAACGUUCGUAGAUCAUUACCAAAUCUCGUCAAGUUCCACUGAUUCGAGGCCGGGAUGCGACGCACUUGAUUUUCUUGGGACGGUAACUCAUUCUUUUGUCUUUGCUGUUCUUUGUCCGUAUCAGUCAGUGAGUGACGCAAGACCAGAAAUCUGGCGAAAGCCACGGUAUGCCCCAUCGGGCGCCACGGAGACCAUAAAAUCUUUUCUUCUUCUUCUUUGUCUCGUUUUUCUUUUUUUUACACUUAAACUUAUUCUUUGCAGGCUCCUUCCCGCGCUCUUUUACAACAACGUUUUGGCUAGCAUGCCCCACUGUAUAAAAAUCUGUAUGUUCGUGAUUGGACAUCUCCAGAUCGUGUAGAUGUAUGGCUCCUUGCCUAAGCUCAAUAUUGAGCUCAAUCGAAGCUAUUGUGGAGACAAUAUCCUGUCAAGAGAACAGUCUCUAUAACUUUUACCAGGCUUGGAACUUAAAGGAAGAGAGAAAAAGGUUUCCUGGGAUUUUAGAAUCUUUCACGUAUCAAUUAUCGCAGGAAAAUUUCUUUCGUUUAGUCAUGUAACAUGACUAAACCUCUGGGCUUUCCUCUCUAGUGAGAUUCAGGAAGAACGAUAACAGUGGCUUAUGUUCUUUCCUAGCAGGUUGUAGAUCAAACAGAUUCAAGUAGAGCAGUAGCCUCAAGGAGUCUUCAUUCGCAGCAAGCGUAUGUUUGAUUUUUCUUAGAAUAUUUCUCAUUGUGGCAUUUUUGGUCUAGAUAGUGGAUCUACGUAGAAAGCUUCAUCUCACAUUGCAAAUUGCAACAUCAAGUAACACCAUUUCGAUUUCCUUUUACCAUGCCAGUUGGUUUUCUGGUGUUCUUUUUCCAAUCACAGCAAACAAAAUGAAACAGAACGAAAGCUAGAGCUCCAUAAAAAAUCAAGCGUACUCGAUGCUAGCCCCCUUGAACGUGAAGACUUUCUCCUUGUCCUUCCCGCGCGGCACCAGAGUGACAACGAGCUUGUCCGCGUCCUUCAAGCCCAAGAUCUCGACGUUGGGCUUGAUGGAGAAGCGGGCGUUGGUGGUCCGAGUGCUCGACUCGGUCAUCCCGGGCAUGAAGUGGGGGAUGUUGUAGAAAGAGCCAACGUACUCGGCGCAGGAGAGCGUUGUGGUCUCGUUGGCCUCAGGGAGAUUGAUGAACACGUUGAAGUUAGUGUUAUUCUGCAUCCCAACCACCAUCUCUUCCAGGACCAGGAGCUCGUCCGAAGCGCUGCCUUUGGGCUGCGCCACCGUGAUCGUCAGCGGGCCCGCUCCAACCUUGACAGGCUCGGCGUUCUGGGACGAGGAUUUCACGAGUGGAUACUCAGCCGCCAUAGCAGUAGCUCCAGGAACCAACGAAGCAACGAUCGAACUCUUGGGCUGCGCGAAGGCCGUCUUUGCGAGCGGCAGUGGCUUGUAGUUGAUCCAGACCUUGUCCUGGGGCAUGGACGCGUACUUGUACUUGAGCUUCGUCUGGUUGUCGAUGGAAUCUUUCACCUUGACGCGAACGAGGUCCUGGUUCUCAUCGAAGAAGAGGAACUCGGUGUUGAGGUAGUCGGCGUCCGUGAAGUCCUGGUUUCCCAGGGACCUCCACACGUCCCACAUCCUGUCCACGUUACCGUGGUGGCAGUAGAAGAGUGGAUCCUUCCCGGCAGAGUAGAAGUUGCCCAGGUCCUCGCCAUUGGGGUUAUUGGGGCUGCCGCCAAAGAUGUGCACGGCCGUGUGUGGGGCUUUCUCCAGAGAUCCAUCGGCACCGUUAUUGUUCCCUUUCCUGCAUAAGACAUGGCUCCGUCACCUUUUUCUGGCCAUGCACACGUACCUUAUGGGAGCGCCGAAGAAGGCGUCCCGGAGCUUGACCUUAGCGACGUUGUUGUACAUGACGGAGAUGUUGUCCUGGCGGAUCUGAUCGUCGGUCUUGUAGGUGGGCUCGCCGAAGCUGGGGUCGACGCCGGGCGCGUAGCCGAGAUCCACUCGCGCGGGCGCGUAGUUUGCCUCGUUGCGAUUGGCGUCGAAGAUGGGGGUGCCCUCGCGCCGAAACAUCUCCGGGAUGUAGCUCCCCCCCUCCUGGUUGUCCCAGUUCCAAAACGGCAGCGCGAAGGUUGGAUCGUUGAUCAAGCUGCCCAGGAUCUUCUCGUGGUAGUAGAGGUACCAGCGGUGCCACGGCAGGAAGAGCCAGUUGAAGUGGAUCUGGAGCGUUGACUUUGGAUCGCCCUCCUGGCGGUAGCCGAAGUUGCAGUAGACGCAGUGGACGUUUGCCUGCUGCCGGAAGCUCCGGGGAUCAUCCGAGGGAAGCGCGCGCAUCUUGGCGUAGGCCUCGUUGUACUUCUGGAUGUAGUCCUCGUCCACGAGAUGGGCGGCGGGGCGGGUGCGCAUGGGGCCGGUGUCGGGCUUGAAGUCGAUGGUGUCGCGCUUGGGCUUGGGCGGGCAGCACGCCACGAAGGUGUUGGUGUUGGCGAUGUUGGCGGGCUGGCAGCGCUUGAAGGUGGGAGAUCCCACGGGCUCGGCGAGCGCGGGACCAGUAGGGGACGCUGCGAGCGAAGCUCCGCCGGCGAUUGUUCCCGCCAGGAGCUCGCGGCGAUCGAUGAUCGAGGCCGGAGUGGAGCUACCUUUCUUGGAGGGGAAAGAGGGAUUACCAGACUCCCCUGUUGCUGCAUUGGCUUCUUUCCUGGCAUUGGCGGUGAUCUUGAGCGUACCCCGGGAGCGAUUGGGCAGAAGUGGGCAUCGGCUCCGGUGCUGGAGCUUGACGCGAUCGAGCGAGAGUGCCGCGGAAGACAUGCCCAGCAGCGAAUCCAUGCUGGAUGAGAGAUUCCAAACCUCGACUGACGACGUCGUAGGAAGCGUACCUUUUUAAAGGACGAACAAGCUCACAUGACUCUCGUGGGAGUAGUGGCGAUAAUAUUUCAGACCAAAGUGAUCGGACUUUGAUCCACGAGAACCCCGUGUCUCUUAGAAUUCUUAUCAAAACUGCCACGUCAUUGCAGCCUUUAGUAGGGUUACCGUCUUUUCAGGAGACGAGCAAAGAUAUGCUUGAAACAGCAGUGAAUGAGGGGAAUUCGUAAUUGGCGUAAGUUUAUUUGAUAUCCAUCUGCACGGUAGCAUUUCCACGGUACGGCCCAGCUUGUUCUCUGAUUCCGUUCGCUUUGAACUGUAGUUGCCACUUUCUUGAACAAGCCAUGUAAAGCUUUUAGCAGAACAUCGCCACAAGGUAAACACUUAAAUUACCUUCGCCUUUGAUAGGCUAGGUUGUGUUCGAAGUGUUUUUUGAGCCGCUGCUCACCCACCUUUUAAACGGGUCGAUUGCCACAUUCAUGGAAAUCCGGACAUUAGUCGUCACCUUCGCCUACAACAUUCGAGGUACGUGCUGAAUGAAUCUCACGCUUGACUGUUCGAUUUGUGAGAGCUUAAGGAGCUCCGGGAAAGCACCAAAGGUACAAACAAGAGCCGAGGGGAGGGAGUUGGCCAGGCGUUUCCUAGGCUUGGGUUUCGUAGCAGUUUGAUCGAUCAUGUGGUGUAGCUCGCACCAGUGUCGUCAUGCAUAUACCACGCCCCGUUACUGUGGAUCAUAAAAGAAAGCUCGAACUAAAGAGAAGGAAAAACAGAGAACACGAACUCGAGUUGGCCGGGCGACGACUUCGUUCCUGCCACCUUAACGGAAAAGGGACGUCGAGGGGGCUAGGGCUUGAUCCAAGGUGACCACUCUGACCGUACGCCUGGAUCAUCGAGUUCCAGGACCUCUCGGCAUUCGAUCAAAUACUCUCCUAGCGUCCUCCAGGUGACCGCUCUCAGCGUACACUGCGAUCAUUGCGUUCCACGGGUUUGUGUAGCAGCCUUGCUUCUCGCUCCUCCCUGCUCCGACCAAAGAUCAUGGAGUUCCAAGACGUGACAUCCGCCAAAACGCCAGCUUGGCAUCGCUGAUAUGCCGGGCAUGGGCAUAUCCCGUCCAAGAGAUGAUAAUCUUCCAAGGCAUUUGAUCAGAAAUUCCCUUGGCUUCCUCCGCAGAUUGACACUGCACGCAAGCCAGAAUUGCUGCACCAAGUCCCGGCAAGGCACUUUUUCAAAGACCCUGAUACAAUCCUCUUGGUGCCCAGAUUGGGCAUAAGCUGCUGAUCUUGUGUUCCACGAUGUUAUAUCCCUUCUCGGAAUUUCUGGGAAGAGGCUCAAAGCUACCCCACAUGACCGUCUAUCCAUACGCUACUCGUAUGGUCGUCCUCGCCACGGCAUCCUUGUGAGAAAUCCAUCAAACAGCCUUCUCGCUAGAACCAUAUACCUGUUGUGGGAAUACGCUGCUACCAUGGUCGUCAAAGAAACGCCGUCUUUCGGUGGCAUCUGAUCGCAUCACAGCCUUGCAGUGUGAUACUAUCCAGCGGUGUAAUACGCGGUGAUAAUAGAUGCCCAUGAUGCCAAUCCCAAAACGGCAUUCUAUCAAAGAGCCACUGUGAUCGAUCGAUAUGCCGAAGCUGGGCAUUUUCUUAGACCAAAACGUUCCAGGAUACUUGAUCCUUCUCUAGAACAGCGAUGGCGUGCAAUAGUUCUUCUUCGCUUUCAGGAACUAUAGAGCGUCUUAUCGUGAUGUUUCUCCUCAAGAUCAUACAUUGCAACCAAUGAUGAUCCCACGCUCUGAGACGCGCUUGGCAUGGCCACCGGUAGAUCACCGGUUCCGGGACAAGAGCGCUGGAGAGCUCGCAUUGUAUGGCGGGAUUGCCGUUGUCGGGUUUGCGAUUGGAGGUAGUGUGCCGAGCUCGCUGGAAAUCUUGCUGCUGGUUCCCGAGGCGCUCCAGGCAAUAGGCAGUGGGCGUGGGCUACUCGAUCCUCAUCGCUGGUAAGCGAUCAUAUGAUCCAUCCCCCUAUUUUCCUCGCAUUUUUUCUUUUGAAUGUAAAGUUUUCUUUUCCUGAUAAUCCCUUUCGUUUCCCAGUUGUUUUUUUUUUCCAGCGAUGGUGGAGGGAGCACACUCGUGCGAAGCAAAAAAUCGUGCAUCGAAUGGUUGAGUGGAGCUAUACCAAAUGAUAAACUUGAGACGAGAGUCCCGAUCGCCAGCGUCAAAGUUUUGCUGGAAGAAGUUGAGGAGCGCGACGGUGAUGUUCGUGGCCGAGCUUGGCAUCGUCUUGUGCUGCUUCCGCUAGCUUCUCAUUCCGAAAGGAUCCGGAAAACUAGACUUUCCAGGCAUCUUUUCCAGCUUUGCUUGACACGAUCGGGGUGACAUACAAUCUCUGCCUUGGGAGCGGACACGAGCAAGGAUCGGUACGGUUUUUAUAUGCUAGGAAGGCGAAACGCCAUAGACUUUGUGAGUGAUUGUUGUCUCUUAACUCUCUUCUCACUCCAAGAACGCGAAAGUAGGGGAGCACCGAAAGAAAGAGGGGAAGAACCUCGCGAAUCGCUGAUCCUCCUUUGCAGCAUUCGUCCAUCCAUCCGACGGAGCGUUUCUUUUUGCGAUUUCUUUUAUUCUUUAUUUAUUUAUUUUUUGUUGCAGAGGCAUGGUUGCUGCCUAGCAAGUUGCUCGCCGGUCACCUCAAGAACAGGCUUUUGCUCGCUCCUUUUCUCGGCUCUUCCAACUUUAUUCUAAGUGGAAGAACUUCGUCUAUCCACUGAAUUUUACAUACAGAAGGGGUGAUUUGGCGCAUCUCUGAUCUUUGGAUCUUCAUACGAAUUCACAAGAAUGUUAUGGAAUAAAGAGUUCUUUUGAGUGAGGAGGAGAACACAGAAUCGGCACUAUAAACCUGGGGAAAAUGCUCAAAUAAUCUUAAGGCGGAAUCGAGAUAUCCAGGCGCUGAUCUAUGCCUCGAACACCGCCACGGUGAUCCUUGCCGUGUGCUUCUUCGGGAACUUUGUAGAGCGGUGACGUAAUGGCAAGCAGAUCCUUGUGUAAGCGAGUUGACGACGAUACUUGAUCUUCCUCUCUUU